AAGGAGCAUCUCCAACGCUCGUGCCACACAGGUGGUGUCGAGGUUGGCAGAGCCGCUUAUGUUCCCGAAUGUGGAACUGCGGAGCUCAUGGGUGGAACGCUGACAAGCUCUUCUCGUUCAACGCUGGUCCUCAGUGGCUGGCCAGGGAAGAUAUAUCGACACACUGUUGGGUCCUGAAAGAACAGACGUUCUUUCCAGGCAAAAGAUACGACAAGGUUUUCUCCGCGUGUCAUACCGCGGGAUUUCUUCCCGGCUGGUGCCGCAGUGGUGAGAAGGUCUUGUGUGUUGUUUGAGAACUGCACAGUGGACGCGAGCAUCUUUGUUU
rnacentral:misc_RNA from 1 species